UCCCAAUCACUGAAAUACAAAGAAAUUCAAGAAGCUAAUUAGUAGCAUACUUAAUAGUGGGGCUGUAAGACUUGUGAAAAAUUACUUUGUCCUUGUUUGGAAUAUCUUAUAGAUUGCAUUCAGCAUAGUUGAAAAUGUCUGGGAUGGAUACAUAUGUAAAACAAACACCACUUAAAUUCAGCAUACUCCUUAUGAGAAUACUUGGGCAUUUGGUUAGGUGUUGCUCAGGGUCUGACAUGUGACUAGACUCAAAUUACUACUGGAAGGGCCUUAAAGAUACCAACUAGGCCAGCCCUCUCUGGUUGGAUAAAAUUGAAACCAUAGAGAAAAAGUUAAUAGAGCUAAAAUAGCAGCUUCUAAUUCUGUACCAUUACCUAAAGCAUCUUUUUGAAUUAUCAAAGGAAGAAAUAAGCAAAUGGACUGUGGGAAAUCAUCUUACAAAACUAGAAUAUAGUUUUUCCAGGGGAAUUUUUGUGUACCUUACCUCAGUACUGGAAAUAAUAUUACAGAAGAUACAGAUGAAUCUGAAAUGAUACACUGAUAAACUUUUUAAAAAUUUGUAAUUAGACUGAACCAUAAGAAACUGUUAAUAGUUGAUCAUUUUUGAGCCUUACAAAAGUGGUAAUUUCCUACUGUUCAGUGUAAUGGACUUAAAUCAGUUUUAACACCACUUGCUAACAGUCUGACUUUAGCAGAUUGCAGUUACUGCUUUAUUGCAAAAGCUCCUGAAAUAAAACCCAAAUACUAUCAGAGAUUAACAUGGGUUAUGAGCAACUACAGUCCAUUCAAGUACACGUUCUAAUAAAGAACUAAAAUUAAAAAAAAAAAUAAGGGGCUAGCAAAUUCACUAUAGCAGACAGAUAUUCUUAACGAAAAAGCGUAAGGGAUCCAAAUCGUGUAGCAAAGACAGGAAGACUGAGACAGUAACAAACAUCCUUUUCUUUGAGAUUUUUUGCCAAAACAGUAGAUUCACAGUUCAAAUCCAAGUUCCUUGAAACUUUACAGAAGAAAAUCCAGGUGUAAUUUUCCUUUACUGUAAUUCUUAACCACCAAUCAUCUGUCCCUGGACAUAGCCUGUUUUCCAUGUUUAUCUGUCCUUAGGCAACAGCCCAUGAGAACACUAGUUGGUUUGAGCCUCAAAAGCGUAAAUCUGUUUGCAGAGGAUACAAAUGGUGCUGUUUCCCAGUCCAAGAUUUAGUUAACAUACCAACUUCUAUAAGACCCUCCUUAGGUUACAAAACGCUAGACACAGCUAACAGCAGCUACAAAAAAUUACUUGACCUCACAAUUAGCU
rnacentral:lncRNA from 10 species